rfam:Escherichia hermannii NBRC 105704 DNA, contig: EH10570406.
ACUAAUUACAACCAUUAAGGGGCGGGACAUCCUGCCCUCUCGAUUGCUUCGACAGCCCGGACAGACUCUGCGUCGGAUGGUCGUUCCCCAUCCGGCGUGAACACUCCACUCGUUUCCAGCCCAAAAAUAAGGAAACAGCGGAGAAGGCUUCGCAACAAUCUUCGAGGGUAGCCAGGCUACCCUUAUUUUUUUUGGA